rnacentral:tRNA from 1 species
GUCCCUGUAGUGCAAUGGAUAGCACGUUGGACUUCCAAUCCAACGGUCGUGGGUUUGAAUACUACCUGGGAUG